UGCUGUAGUAUCCUAGGGGUCUACUCCAGUCCCUGGUUACCUCGAAUUUUCCAGUCCCUGGAUGUCUCACCAGUGAAGGUUGUGAAACAGCAAAAAUGGCAGCCUGCACCCUCCUCUGGGAGCUCCAUCCCAAGAAGAUGUUGGCACUUCUUAGGAAGGAGCCAUCCAUGUCUGAAGAGAAGAAAUGAUAAUUAACUUCAUCAUGUGGAAAGCUUUAGAAGGAAGUAUCUUGUCCUUCUGUCCAAACCCGCCUCCUCCUUACCACCCCCAAUAAAAAUAAAAGCCAAACAAAUAAAACAUUAGCAGUAGCUCUGAGUUUCUUCCUUUCACUUUUUCUCUCUCUUCAUGCCUUUUCUCCUCCAUUCCUUCCUUCUUUCAAAUCAUUUUUACUAGUUUAAGAGAAUAAUUCAAUCUAUAUUUAGAAAUCAGACUUAAAACUUCAAAAAUUAUACUGAAAUAGCUUCCCCUUAAAGGGUGAAACAGUCAUGAUAAAAAUAACAACCGAUAGAAUAAAAUAAUAUAAAAUUAGCUGAGUUUAUAGUUUCUUUUACACCUCCAUAAUUUAUGUGGAUUUGGAAAUACAGACAGUAUACUGAAAACUAAGAAGUUUUCUAUGAAUUAUGAGAAUUUGCAAUCCACAUAGGCUUAAGUCUAAUGUUAGAAGAUAAAACAAAUUGACCUUAAAUAACUUUCUGACAUAACCUCCCCAUUUCAUGGAUGAAAAACCCUAAAGCUCUCAUAAGUAAAGUGAUUUACUUCAGGACACAAACUAGUUGAUUUAGUUUGGAUGUUUGUCCCCUCCAAAUCUCAUGUUGAAAUGGAAUCCCCAGUGUUGGAGGUGGGGCCUGGUGGGAGGUGUUUGUGUCAUGGGGCAGAUCCAUUAUCCUUAUGAGCUGCUUGGUGCUAUCCUUGUGAUAGUGAGUGAGUUCUCAUGAAAUCUGGUUGUUUAAAAAUUUGUGGCACCUCCCCACCAGCCUUGCUCCUGCUCUUGCGGUGUGAUAUGCCUGCUGCCUCUUCACCUUACACCGUGAUUAUAAGCUUCCUGAGGCCUCACCAGAAGCAGUUCUUCUAUCAGGAUUUUAAGAGGGCAGGCAGAACUUUAAAGCAAAGGAAAUUGCUUGUUUUUGUGAAAUUAACCAGUCUGUUAUCAAGGCGGAGGACAAGAUACGAAUGCUAAUCAUUGUGAAGAAACUCAUUACGGAAUUUUCUCCAAUACAUAGGCAAAAGAAGUGGCUGUUAUCAUUUUGCACUAUAACCAGACAUAUAAUGCUGUUGCUCCACAUCCACGUCAGAGG
rnacentral:lncRNA from 1 species